ACGAACGCUGGCGGCGUGCUUAACCCAUGCCAGUCGAACGGACAGGCCCUGCUUUUGUGGGGUUCUCGAGUGGCGAACGGGUGAGUAACACGUGAGUAACCUGCCCUUGACUUUGGGAUAACUUCAGGAAACUGGGGCUAAUACCGGAUAGGAGCUCCUGCUGCAUGGUGGGGGUUGGAAAGUUUCGGCGGUUGGGGAUGGACUCGCGGCUUAUCAGCUUGUUGGUGGGGUAGUGGCUUACCAAGGCUUUGCCGGGUAGCCGGCCUGAGAGGGUGACCGGCCACAUUGGGACUGAGAUACGGCCCAGACUCCUACGGGAGGCAGCAGUGGGGAAUCUUGCACAAUGGGCGGAAGCCUGAUGCAGCAACGCCGCGUGCGGGAUGACGGCCUUCGGGUUGUAAACCGCUUUCGCCUGUGACGAAGCGUGAGUGACGGUAAUGGGUAAAGAAGCACCGGCUAACUACGUG
rnacentral:rRNA from 1 species